ensembl:lncRNA
GGGACAGAUACAGAGUAUAUAGCUGGGAUGAGGAUACGGCUGGGACAGAUACAGAGCUGAGUCUGGGAUGGGGAUAAGAUUGGGAGAGAUACAGAGCUGAGUCUGGGAUGGAGAUAAGGCUGGGACUGAUUCAGAGUCUGGGGCUGGGAUUGGGAUGGAGAUAAGGCUGGGACAGAUACAGAGUCUUGGGCUGGGAUGGGGACAAGGCUGGGACAGAUACAGAGUCUUGGGCUGGGGGGGACAAGGCUGGGACAGAUACAGAGUCUAUAGCUGGGAUGAGGAUACGGCUGGGACAGAUACAGAUUCUGGUGCUGGGAUGGAGAUAAGGCUGGGACAGAUACAGAGCUGAGUCUGGGAUGGGGCAAGAUUGGGACAGAUAGAGAGCUGAGUCUGGGAUGGGGAUAAGAUUGGGACAGAUAAAGAGCUGAGUCUGGGAUGGGGAUAAGAUUGGGACAGAUACAGAGUCUUGGGCUGGGAUGGGGACAAUGCUGGGACUGAUACAGAGUCUGGGGCUGGGAUGGGGAUAAGGCUGGGACAGAUACAGAGCUGAGUCUGGGAUGGGGAUAAGAUUGGGACAGAUACAGAGCUGAGUCUGGGAUGGGAAUAAGGCUGGGACUGAUUCAGAGUCUGGGGCUGGGAUGGAGAUAAGGCUGGGACAGAUACAGAGCUGAGUCUGGGAUGGGGAUAAGGCUGGGACGGAUACAGAGCUGAGUCUAGGAUGGGGAUAAGAUUGGGACUGAUACAGAGUCUUGGGCUGGGAUGGGGACAAGGCUGGGACUGAUACAGAGUCUGUAGCUGGGAUGGGGAUAAGAUUGGGACAGAUACGGAGCUGAGUCUGGG